GACGAACGCUGGCGGCGUGCUUAACACAUGCAAGUCGAACGAAGUGGCGAACGGGUGAGUAAUACGUGAGUAACCUGCCCUCCUUUUUGGGAUAAGCCCUGGAAACGGGGUCUAAUACCGAAUAAAGGGGGAUGGGCUCGGGGCCUAUCAGCUUGUUGGUGGGGUGAUGGCCUACCAAGGCGGUGACGGGUAGCCGGCCGGAGAGGGUGACCGGCCAAAUUGGGACUGGGAUACGGACCAGACUCGUACGGGAGGCAGCAGUGGGGGAUAUUGCACGAUGGGCGGAAGCCUGAUGCAGCGACGCCGCGUGGGGGAUGACGGCCUUCGGGUUGUAAACUCCAUUCACCAUAGACGCGAUAGAUGGAGAAGAAGCACCGGCUAACUACGUGCCAGCAGCCGCGGUAAUAC
rnacentral:rRNA from 1 species